rnacentral:sRNA from 1 species
UGGCAAGGGAGAUAAAACAGUCAUCAAGAACUUGAAUAAGAUACUGCUUUUCUUGCUUUAGGACCCUCGGAUGGUGGCGUGUACACUUGUAGGAUCGUACUGCAACACAAUGCAUCCAAGCAAGUGCUAGAAGAAAAAAUAUUUCUUCAUGCUAAACCUUUUAUACUGCCCGGAGCGCUGACCAAUGUCACAAGCACGUCUCUCAUCUUGACCUGCCCAGUUGGCGGUUACCCAAGUCCAGAGAUCUUCUGGCAAAGAGGAAAGGAUAUACUGACCGCAAAUGGUAAUGUUCAAAUGACCACAGUAGUAGGUACUCGUCACGCUCAGUUGGUCAUCACCAACUUAACCGACAAUGACUACGGCACUUACUCCUGCAUUGCUGACAACUGGUUGGGUAAAGCAGAACUGACCUAUCAGGUUCACAGUGCUGGACACAGAUCUAAGGCGGGACUUGGUUAUUUACUAAUGCUGUGUGUUUUCAAGAUGUUCUUUAUGGUUAAAACUUAAAGGCCCAUAACCAGUGUUCAAAAGUUUUGAACUAACAUUUACUUCAAUGCAGAAGAAUAAACCUCAACAGUACCCAGACCAACCCUCAGCCUCAACAGUACCCAGACCAACCCUCAGCCUCAACAGUACCCAGACCAACCCACAGUCUCACUAGGACUAGAACACUCAACAGUACAUAUAAAAAAUAAGAAUAAAAACUCACUAGUACACAAAAGAAUAGUCCUCAAGAGUACAUAAAAAUUAAUCUUUAUUAGUGAAUGAAGAAAUGACAUUCGAAGAAUAGCUAGCGCUCAGUGGCACAUUGAGGAACUAAUCCCCAUUAGAACACAGAAAAUAAGCUCCUAAUAGUCUAUAGAAAAAAUGAUUUCUUCUUAUUACACAGAAAAGAAAAUCCUGACUAGUAGCCAGUUGGCAUUCAUUCAUAAAGAGCGACUUAAGGUUGUGAUCACUCUUGCUGUAACUUAAAACAAUAACAAAAUUGAAAUAAAAUUUCUCAAUAUUCUCCCAUUUUUUCCUGCUGCUAUUUAGUCAAACUAAUUUGUACUCUUAAGUUAAAAUUUCAAUGUUUUAAAUGUCUUUUUUUUAAAGUAGUUCUAAAAUUUUCUUUGACAGACGAUUCGAUACUAAUGUAGACUUUCAGCGUUUUAUCAGUUCACUUCAUAGGAGAACGGAGUCUCUACUGAGAGACCAAAAGUUCACCAUCUCUUUAAAGUAGCUAAUGAGAGACCUAUAGUUCACCAUCACUUUAAAGUAGCUAAUGAGAGACCAAAAGUUCACCAUCACUUUAAAGUAGCUACUGAGAGACCAAAAGUUCACCAUCACUCUUAAGUAACUAAUGAGAGACCAAUAGUUCACCAUCACUUUAAAGUAGCUACUGAGAGACCAAUAGUUCACCAUCACUUUAAAGUAACUAAUGAGAGACCAAUAGUUCACCAUCACUUUAAAGUAGCUAAAGAGAGACCUAUAGUUCACCAUCUCUUUAAAGUAGCUAUUUCACUAAGAAUGAUAUUUGUAACACUCGAUAUAACUCGCUCACAAGUAAUGCAUUAUCUGGAGAUAUUUUUAAAUCUCUACUCAUUUAGCCCACUACAAAUACCGGUAUUGAUACGAAGGCUUCCAAACUUCACACUAAACCUAAUUCAUAGCUUCUGUUCUUAACAGUGUAAAUGACCCGAUAAGUUUUCGAUAUCCAAUCCUUGCAUGUUGAGCAGAACUUUAUAUUCCUAUUAUCCAGCCAUACAAUCGAAAAAGAAAUCAUUCAAAUUUGAAUGAAUCAGUCUUGUUAUAAUUAAAAAUUUAAUAUAACCAUAUUCAUUAAUGACCAGUUAAUGAUUUUAAUAUAUAAUAUUUUAUACUCAUUAUGAGAAAUUUUUUUUUUACUGUUUCGUCAACUAUUCAUAUUUUUUAUACAACAAAAUCUUGUCGUAACUGCCCUCUCUGUCAAUACCCAAGUAUCUUAGUAAGAAGACACUGUUACAUCCAGUAAGUAUUGACCCCUUGUAUGAUAUGCCAGACGCUUUUUAUAGUUUUAAAAUGUCUUUGUCACUUAUGAAUCCUUUUUUUUUCGGACCUGAUAUAAAGUAGUCUCUUUCAAUGUAUAUUUGUUUCUGCUUCCUGUUUGAAGUAACGUCUGUAAUCUAUAUGGUAAGACAAGAAAGCCGCCUUCGUGUUU